AGAGAGGGAGACUCUGCGCCCUCCCUGGGCAGCUGCUCCAGUGCUCUGUGACGCUUAGUGCAAAGUUCCUCCUGAUGCUGAGAUGGAUCAUGUGUUUUAGUUUAUAGGCACUGCUCCUUGUCCUGUUGCUGGGCACGACUGAGAGAAGCCUGGCCCCAGCCUCUUGGCACCCACCUUGGAUAUAUUUAUAUGUAUUGAUGAGCUCCCCUCUCAGCCUUCUCCAGACUGAACAGGCCCAGCUCCUGCAGUCUCUCCUCAUAAGAGAGAUGCUCCAGACCCAUCAUCGGCUUUAGUCAGAUGUUACUGACCUAUAAUUAUUUUUUUUUAUUCUUUAGAGCAUUGAAGAUGUCAGAUUUGUGAGGCAAUAACACUCUUAUACUAUGGUGUCAUUACAAUUCUGCCUCGGGGACAUGCAAAUAUAGAGAGCUAGCUUGUGUAAAUUCAUCAUGGUAGUGUAUUUAGCUGGAUUAGUUCCUUUAAACAAAUCUCCUCAGGCUUAAGUUUUGAAUUAAGAUAAUGAGCAGUCCUGCUGAAGUUGGAAAAACAGAGAGUUUGGUAUGGAAAUUCACUGAAUCAGGACUAGCCUACGUAUUCAGCCUCUUUAAAACAUUUUCCUCUUUGGAAUGUGGGUGGAAAACAGGUGGAAAACCUGUUUUACCUCCUUUGGGUUUUCCCAGUGUGCCUGCACCCGUAGCACAUCUGGUCAGCCUCCCAAAAUGUGUGAGGAAAAUAGUAAAGAUGCCACAAGAUACGGUUCUCUUCAGUGUGACCUUAGAUAUUUGUUGGCUUUAGCGAAGUUCUGCUCAAUACAAAUGAAAGUCUGAAAGGGAUAAAGGAUUCUAUUACUCAAGCUGAGAUACCAACAAAGCACUUUGAAGGUUAAUUAUGGACCACAUGAUGGCAGCAACAGGCUCUGCUAGAAGAUCAGAGAUUGUUCUUCUUCAUCUUAAUAAGAAAUCAUUGAUGGCCUAAAGAGUUGCUUUGGUUAUUAAAAUAUGACCUGAAUAUUGCAACCUGUUACAGCUGAAAGAAGAGAUUCAAAUGUUUCAUCCUUGAGAUCACCACCUCAAGCCUCAACAUUGAAGAUAUUGAAAAACAGCAGAUGAAUUUCUUAUUGUACCAGCUGAAGCAGAAUGAGUGUGGGUGAUAACGUUUGCAUUCAGAAAGCACUGACUCUGCCUUUGCACAUGAAGAGUGGUCUCAGGAACGUGCUCCAGCCCCUCUGCCCUGCCAUAUGCUGUCCCCACAGCUGUCUCAGGCUGCCCAUGAGGAGUCUGGCCACUUGGAUCUAUGAGACUGGAGCUGCUCAGCUUUUUGAAGUUGUGGGUGCAUAUUCACCCAUGUCCAGGAUUCUGAUAUUCAAAACAUCACAGUUUUGGAUCUGCCCAUAACUGGACUUCAGGGGAAUCACCAAGAGACUUCAAGAUGCACUGACUGAUUUAGACAAUUCUCAAGGUGGGCACUAACCUCCUGCAUCUUUGUGAUGAAAGUCCUGCAAUUUGAUGUUCUUUUGCACUGCACUGCUCCAUCUUCUUAGUUUUUAUUAAACUUUUAUUCAAUCAGGAUGCUUUAAGUAUCUGGAUCUUGAAAUUCAUUGCUAGAUUCUUUAGUAUUCAUAAUUCUCAUCCAAUGAAAUUGCUCAGCUCUUCUACAGCAAUUGAGAGAAAUAAAACUUCCUUGAUUCUGAAAUUUUGUUGGUUUAGAAGUCAGAAGGAUACUGUCUCUUCUGACUGUAAUGGCUGUGCUGUUGCUUUUGCUGUCAGCAGUGUUUUUUUUUAUUAAUAGAUACUACUUUGUUUUGUUCUCAUUUAGCCUGGUAGCCUAAUAUUUAAAGUAGCCAAGAAUCAGAUUUUACCUAAAGAACAUCUCAUUUAUUGAAGGCUCUUUGAAAUUACUGGUUUAAUGUAUGUAUUGCAACUUGGCCAAUAACCAAUAACCUCAUCUUCUUUCUGUGCAAUUCCAGUUCUGCAUAACAAAGAGAGGGCCAUAUGUAUCCAGGGGAAACUGAAUCACUUAAGCAGAAAAUAAAGUCUGU